AGAAGAUCAACAGUAAGAAACAGAGCCCUAAGAGAACAAAAUAUGGAUAAGCCAGAAAGAAAUAAACAUUUUGUUAACAUCGAGAUUGUAUUGGAUAACAAAGCAAACAGCAAGUUGACUUAAAAACAAAACACACACAUACAAAAACGCUUUUGUGACAAACAGCUUCUUCUUGGCACACAUUACCUUUUCUCCUUCUCCUCAACGGGAAGCUUUUUUCACAAGAAUAUUUUGGGUUCCUGGACCCGAAUAGUUUUUAAGAUCUGGAACUCACUGGCUACGGAAAUGACUGGGUCCUCAGGAGGAAGGACUUUGCAAAACCAUGGUCGAUGCUGAUGCAAAAUCCUCGGAGAAAGCAGACAGUGGAAUGAAGUAGACAUUUCGGCCCCAAAUCAUCUGAACAAGCUAUACAGAGUCAUUAAUUGCCAUCCUCUCCAUUGCCUAAGGAUUGGGCAAACAAAGGAAAACUGGAUAGACUGGAGGCUACUAUGACAGAAUUGUUCCCAGAUGCACCUCCCAUGAAGGGAGAUCUUGCUAAGACAGUAACCCAUCUCUGAGAAAUAGUUGAUUCAAAUCUUUCUGAAGACUCCCAGGUAAAUCCAGGAAUUCAGUCUUGCUGGACAUGAAACCAAGAGAUAAAAUGCAAGUCCAAUUUUAAAUCUCCUUAUGUUCAGUUUUUAAGGUACUGCAGACGCAGGAUAGAACUGGGCAAGGGAACCUGAGCUGACUCAGAA